rnacentral:lncRNA from 1 species
GAAAUUUGGCGAAAAAGGAAUUGGAGAGGAACCGUUGUGUAAUCUCUACACUCCCAAGUACCAAACAUAAAUACAACUGAAUUUACAGCUCAGAAAUUUAAGCCUUUUUCCCUUUGGAUUAAAAUGUACAGUUCGCGCAAUCUUCUCUCAGUACCUGCUCCUGGGUUAUGCACUCAGGUUCCAAGAAGAGAUUCAUCGUCGGUAAUCCACUACACUCUGUUUUCUUACGUUUUCUUUUAUCUCUAUUUUAGAGUUUGAUCAAGUUUCUUGGAGCUUGAACUUUCGGAAGUAUGCGCAGAUUUUUUUUUUCGUCGUUGUUCUUCGUUUGGGGGUGUUAACUUGAAAUGGAGGGAAAGAGAAUUAAGAGAUGAAUUAAUUGUUCUGGCAAUAUUGUGAUGAUACAUGUGACUGUUUAAAGGUCAUUUCUAAUUUCAAGUUAUUAAAUGAAUUAAUUCUUCAAUUUCUGGAGUCUUGGAUUGAAGAAAUAUGUUAGUUAAUCUUUUCUUAACAAUUUAAGCUUUACAAUAAGAUGAUUUCUUAGAGCAUGCUAAGGUUUUGGUUUUAUGAAAAUUUUAUGAAAUCAGGGAUGUGAUGAUGUAUACACAUAAACAAAUUUCUUUCGUAUAAAAGCUUGACUUUUUAGUUGCGGUGAUGAUUCAAGAUCAUUGACAAUUUUUCAUGGUGAAAUUAAAGUAGAGAUCCAUAGUUAUAUUUUUGAAAUAAAAGGCAAGGCAAAUAUCUUAUUCUAUCUAACUCUAGGGGGGUUACCAUUCUAUUACAAUUUAUGUUGCUUCAUAGUCUUUGAUGACCUUAAAUAAAUGCAAAAAGAAAGUUCAAUCCUUUUUGCUCAAUGGAUAGGAUAUUGAUCUUCCACAUUGCCUUAAGGGUCUUCCGCAUUGAAAUCCAUAAUUGAAACUUUUAGUCUAUUUAAUCAAUGUUAGUUAUGCAAAGUGUAGUAAUUUUUCAACAAUCUAUGUAUCCUGUUGUGCAACAUUUUUUGACAGGCGUUGAGCGGUAGGUCUGUCACAUCACAACCAACUGGACUAAUCUUUGGUCCUUGGAAAUUGCUCACAAAUGCCAUUAAUAUUUCCCCAUUACCUAUCAUAACGACUCCAAAGGUAUGUUUUAGCUUUUGAUGUUCAUCUUACAUAGCACUUUAAUACAAUUCCAAACAGUUCUCCAAUAUCAACUGAAGCAACUGAUGCCUUAACCAUGCCAUCAUAUUUGGUGAUAGUAGUACAGAUUGUCCCAUCAACCUUUAGUGUUGGGUGGAUCAAGUGAGAUGAAGAACAA